AUUGAACGCUGGCGGCAUGCCUUACACAUGCAAGUCGAACGGUAACGGGCCUUCGGGUGCCGCCGAGUGGCGAACGGGUGCGUAAUACAUCGGAACGUGCCCGAUCGUGGGGGAUAACGAGGCGAAAGCUUUGCUAAUACCGCAUACGAUCUACGGAUGAAAGCAGGGGACCGCAAGGCCUUGCGCGGACGGAGCGGCCGAUGGCAGAUUAGGUAGUUGGUGGGAUAAAAGCUUACCAAGCCGACGAUCUGUAGCUGGUCUGAGAGGAUGAUCAGCCACACUGGGACUGAGACACGGCCCAGACUCCUACGGGAGGCAGCAGUGGGGAAUUUUGGACAGUGGGCGCAAGCCUGAUCCAGCCAUGCCGCGUGCAGGAUGAAGGCCUUCGGGUUGUAAACUGCUUUUGUACGGAACGAAAAGCCUUCUUUUAAUACAGGAGGGUCAUGACGGUACCGUAAGAAUAAGCACCGGCUAACUACGUG
rnacentral:rRNA from 1 species